rnacentral:rRNA from 1 species
UACGAAGGACCCGAGCGUUUAUCCGGAUUUAUUGGGUUUAAAGGGUGCGUAGGCGUCCUGGAAAGUUACGGUUGAAAUCUCCUUGCUCAACAAGGAAACUGGCCGUAAAACUAUCAGGAUUGAGUACAUUUGAAGCGGGCGGAAUGUGUCAUGUAGCGGUGAAAUGCUUAGAUAUGACACAGAACACCAAUUGCGAAGGCAGCUCGCUAAACUGUAACUGACGCUGAGGCA